UGGGGAAUAUUGGACAAUGGGCGAAAGCCUGAUCCAGCCAUGCCGCGUGAGUGAUGAAGGCCUUAGGGUUGUAAUGCUCUUUUUGGCGGGGACGAUAAUGACGGUACCCGCAGAAUAAGCCCCGGCUAACUUCGUGCCAGCAGCCGCGGUAAUACGAAGGGGGCUAGCGUUGUUCGGAAUUACUGGGCGUAAAGCGCACGUAGGCGGAUCAGCAAGUCAGGGGUGAAAUCCCGGGGCUCAACCUCGGAACUGCCUCUGAUACUGCUAGUCUAGAGUCCGGAAGAGGUGGGUGGAAUUCCCUAGUGUAGAGGUGAAAUUCGCAGAUAUUAGGAAGAACACCGGUGGCGAAGGCGGCCCACUGGUCCGGUACUGACGCUGAGGUGCGAAAGCGUGGGGAGCAAACAGGAUUAGAUACCCAAGUAGUCCCUGAGCGGGCUGGCAAGGCGCAU
rnacentral:rRNA from 1 species